rnacentral:rRNA from 1 species
AGAGUUUGAUCAUGGCUCAGAACGAACGCUGGCGGCGUGGAUAAGACAUGCAAGUCGGACGAGAUUUUUCGUUGUAGCAAUACGAUGGAAAGUCUAGUGGCGAACGGGUGCUUAACACGUGGGCAACCUGCCGAGAAGUGGGGGAUAGCUCGCCGAAAGGCGAAUUAAUACCGCAUGUGAUUAGAGUGGACAUCCAUUCGAAAUUAAAGUCGGGGCAACCUGACGCUUCUUGUGGGGCCCGCGGCCUAUCAGCUAGUUGGUGAGGUAAUGGCUCACCAAGGCUUUGACGGGUAGCUGGUCUGAGAGGACGACCAGCCACACUGGGACUGAGACACGGCCCAGACACCUACGGGUGGCAGCAGUCGAGAAUUUUUCUCAAUGGGGGAAACCCUGAAGGAGCGACGCCGCGUGGAGGAUGAAGGUCUUCGGAUUGUAAACUCCUGUCAUUGGGGAACAAUGCGUGAUGGUUAACUGCCGUCGCGUUGAUAGUACCCGAAGAGGAAGAGACGGCUAACUCUGUGCCAGCAGCCGCGGUAAUACAGAGGUCUCAAGCGUUGUUCGGAUUCAUUGGGCGUAAAGGGUGCGUAGGCGGCGCGGUAAGUCGGGUGUGAAAUCUCGGAGCUUAACUCCGAAACUGCAUUCGAUACUGCCGUGCUUGAGGACUGGAGAGGAGACUGGAAUUUACGGUGUAGCGGUGAAAUGCGUAGAUAUCGUAAGGAAGACCAGUGGCGAAGGCGGGUCUCUGGACAGUUCCUGACGCUGAGGCACGAAGGUCAGGGGAGCAAACGGGAUUAGAUACCCCUGUAGUCC